AACCACCUGAUCCCAUCCCGAACUCAGUAGUGAAACGAUGCAUCGCCGAUGGUAGUGUGGGGUUUCCCCAUGUGAGAGUAGGUCAUCGUCAAGC
rnacentral:rRNA from 2 species